rnacentral:rRNA from 1 species
GACGAACGCUGGCGGCGUGCUUAACACAUGCCAGUCGAACGGAAAGGCCCUGCUUUUGUGGGGUGCUCGAGUGGCGAACGGGUGAGUAACACGUGAGUAACCUGCCCUUGACUUUGGGAUAACUUCAGGAAACUGGGGCGAAUACCGGAUAGGAGCUCCUGCUGCAUGGUGGGGGUUGGAAAGUUUCGGCGGUUGGGGAUGGACUCGCGGCUUAUCAGCUUGUUGGUGGGGUAGUGGCUUACCAAGGCUUUGAGGGGUAGCCGGCCUGAGAGGGUGACCGGCCACAUUGGGACUGAGGUACGGCCCAGACUCCUACGGGAGGCAGCAGUGGGGAAUCUUGCACAAUGGGCGGAAGCCUGAUGCAGCAACGCCGCGUGCGGGAUGACGGCCUUCUGGUUGUAAACCGCUUUCGCCUGUGACGAAGCGUGAGUGACGGUAAUGGGUAAAGAAGCACCGGCUAACUACGUG